ensembl:lncRNA
GAUUGUGUAGGCUAUACAGGAAGCAUGGUGACGUGUACUUCUGGGGAGGCCUCAGGAAGCUUCCGAUCAUGGCAGAAGGCAAAGGAGAGCAGGCACAUCACAUGGCAAAAGCAGGAGCAAGCGAGAGGGGGAAAGUGCCACAUACUUUUAAAUGACCAGAUUUCAUGAAAACUCACUAUUGCGAGGACAGUGUCAAUGGAAUGGUAAACCAUUCAUGAGAAAUCUGCCCCCAUGAGCCACUCACCUCUUACCAGGCCUCACCUCCAACAUUGGGGAUUACAUUUCAACAUAAGAUUUGCGUGGGGACAACAUUGAACCAUAUCAACCCACUUUUUUCUUUCAACAUAUAUUUUAAUUCCUACUAUGGUCUAGGCACUGUGCCACAUUAUAAACAGAAAGAUAAACACAUACAGUUUCAGUCAAGGGAAAGCAAGGCUUGAAAUUGCAAUAGUGUGUCACACGUAAAGUUUUUUUUUUUUUUUUGGUUUUGUAUUUUUUUCCUGUUUCUUAUCACCCCCUCUUUCUUUUUUAUUUAUUUGCUUAUUUGGGUGAGGUGAGAUGUGAAGACGAUCAAGUCUCUCCCAUUAGACGUGAAGAUACCUAAAUUCUGUUGACAUUUCUAGAACCUACUCAAUCUUUCUCCUUCUCUUUAUAGCCAGGCUUCUUGAAAAAAUAAUCUGUACUUUUUGUCUUCACAUGCUUAUCCUUCAUUAAUACCUCAAUCUACUGCAACGUGGCUUUCAUAUUCACCAGUCCACUGAAACUACUCAUUAAGGUCAUAGAUGAAUUUUUAGUUGUCAAACCCAAUGCACAUCCUGGCCCUUAUUUUAUGUCAUUGUACCAUUGACAUUGCUAUGGGAGCUUACACCAUCCUCCUAUAUGUAAUUAAUAACUGAUGUCUGGCUUAUCUGUUUAGUAAUAGAUGUAUGUGUUUAACGGUGCCAGUAAAUGUAGGGUGCUAAUUCCUUCCUCACCAAUGGGGUGCAUGAGACACUAUUGAAACAAUUGGCAGCACAAAUGGAAUGGAGCAACCCUCAUGCAGGACACCAGCUCAACUUGAUCUACCUGCUGUUGGCUGAUGGUUCCGUAACACAUCAGCAGUCACCUGGGUCAGAACCAUGAGCUGACGAUGGGCCUUCCCUUUGGUCUGCACAGUGUUUUGUGGUCUUCAGGUGUUGUCAUCUUCUCCCAUACUAAAAUGCUCUCAUCUCCUAGACAUGAAUGUUUAAUUGCACCCCAGCAUGACAUUUGACCUGUGCUUAGCAGGCAGUUUUGAGGCCCUGGCUUAUUAAUGAACAAAAGCACAGCACAUAAGCCAACACUUAAGUCCUAAUUAGCAAGAAUCAGGCUGUAUCUCUGUAGUCCCUGCAUCUACUCUGGUCACCAUCUUUGUAUGCUUAGGGCAGCCAUGUGAACAUUAUUUAUUAUUGUACACUCUAAGACAAUAGUUAUUAUGUAGGCAGAAGUAGUGGCCUUGUUUGUUUCUUGUGCUGCUGCUCCCCUUGCUGCUGUCCCAUACACCCUCCUGACGAGGUAUACAUCUGUGGUGCCUCAUGGUUCAGGCACUGAUGAGUAAAGAAAAUGGGAAGAAAGAGUUUGAUAUUAGCCCCUACCGAAGCAUAUGAAGAAGCGUCUCAGCUGCUUUCAUUGAAAAAUUCCUAGCGAGUGUGUGGGCUUUUCUGAUCACUGCUGCUGCUUCUCAGCAUGUCAAAAGUCUAAUCUUCGGACUGCAAGUCUUGACGGCCUUAGACAUAAUGGCCUUACUGCAUGUGGAGCUAACCCCAGGAAGAUGGAGUGGCACUCUCUGGAGGAUUAGGUGGUCUCCUCCAAUGUGGGUUGGUGGGCUCCUGAACUCUUUCCUUUAACCAUGCAGAGUCUACACUGCCGGUGAUCAUGUGCCACAACUCUAUAGAUGCAGAAACUCAAAAUAUUCAAAAUAUUCUGAAACAGUUUCCGUUGAAAGGAAAGAGAAAAGCAGUCAGGUGCCAUGCUCUGGUCAAGAGAACUAGUAGAUGGCUCACAAGAACACUCUGUCGCUACUGCCUGUGCCUCUGUCACAAUAAAUAUCCUGAUCCUUCAGUUUUAAAGGUGCAGGGCCAUUUUCCUCCUUUUCUUACUGGUAGUUCUCAAGAUAACUGUAUGAUAUGCUGGGAAUGCAAUAUCCUGAUAAUCGGGUGACAUUGGUCAGAACAGCCCAGGCUCUUAUAGUCCCUGCUCGAAACAGAAUGGCCUUUAAUGCUUGUGUCCAGCAAACCACAUCCCGGGAGAAAACCCAAGGUGGGCUGCUUUCUAGGGUCCCUCAGUUGUAGUGCAAGUGAAGCAUUUAUGGUCAAAACUCCAUCCAUCUGCUCUGGGUAGCCUUCCUGAUCUUGUGAUAGCGGUUCAUAUUGAAUCCUAGACUUCUGUUGUCUUUUGUUUGCUAUUUGUAAGUAAUACAUUCACUUCAUGGAAUUUAUGUAUGAAUGUGUUUGGUCUCAUUGUACUCAGAAAAGUUGGUAGCCAUUGCACAGUGAACCCGCUUCAUAAUUGGUGAAAACACCUAUGGCCCGCUUGUGCCACAGCAAGGAGGUUAAUUCAGCCAAACAUAAACUUCAUGUUCGUAAAACCCUGUAGCACAAUUAUUGCCAUGUAGGAGGCCUUUAACAAUGGUGAUGCUGAUUUGAAGAACUCUGAAGGAAGAAAUUUAUACAAAUGGGUUGGGUAAAUGGGAGUCCCUCCUAACUUAAAGCAACCCUUACUCCCCUCCACCUAAAAAGAGUGGAGAGGCCGGGCAUGGUGGCUCAGGCUUGUAAUCCUAGUACUUUGGAAGGCUGAGGUGGGCAGAUCACAAGGUCAAGGGUUCAAGACCAGCCUGACCAACAUGGGGAAGCCACAUCCCUACUAAAAAUACAAAAAUUAGCCGGACGUGGUGGCGGGCACCUGUAAUCCCAGCUACUUGGGAGGCUGAGGCAGGAGAAUCGCUUGAACCUGGGAGGUGGAGGUUGCAGUGAGUCGAGACCAUGCCACUGCACUCCAGCCUGGGUGACAGGGCAAGACUCCAGCUCAGGGGAAAAAAAAAAAGUGGAUAAGAACUGAAACAGGUUUAAAAUUUCACCUAAUUGGAAAUGCAAAGUUUACAAAAAUAAUAUUUAAAAUAAAAGGUUAAAUGAGUGCUCAUUGAAUUUUAUGCCUCCACAAAAUAGGUUGUGAAUUAACUUCUACAUUUGUUGAAAGCCACCAAAGUUGGGAAGCCUCUGUGUCUGAAAUUCACAUGUGGCUCAAAUAAGAAUUAUACCUGGGGAUACCCCAAAGUUUAAAUAUUGUAUCCCCUAUGAUAUUAUGAGGAAUUACUGUAUAUAAAACAGGUAGUCUUCCUUUAACUCUGAAAAUCAUAUUAUCUUGUCUAAAUUCUCCAUAACGCAUCACUCUGCAGUAGUAUCCUAUAGUGGACAUAGGUUUCCUGACCAAUGAGCACUAAAAUUAAGUGUGCGACUCACCUAUGUUCUUAUCAAAAUGGAAAUCCUCAAAUCCCACCAGUUAGAAUAACAUGACAGAAUGUCAGAUUUUUGGAAUAUAUAAGUUUUCUGUAAGGUUAUUAGGUAUUGAUUCCAUUUUAUUAAUAGAUAUAAAUAUAUUUAGAUACCUGUUUCUCCUGUGUUUUAGUAUUAAUAGGUUGUGUCUUUUAAUUCAUCCAGUUGGUCUAAGUUACCAAGUUUGUGGGUUAUGGAGAUUGUAAUUUUCUUUAUUAUUUUAUCAUCCAUGGGCUCUCUAAUAUAAAGGCCUCUUUUAAUUCUUAUAUUAUUAGGUUGGUGCAAAAGUAAUUGUGGUUUUGGACCAUGAAUUUUAAAUUUUUGUAACUAUGCUGCAACACAUCUUUAUUAAUCAAAAUAGAACCCAUUACAAUGGGCUGGGUGCAGUGGCUCACGCCUGUAAUCCCAGCACUUUGGGAGGCUGAGGCGGGCGGAUCAGGAGGUCAGGAGUUUGAGACCAGCCUGAUCAACAUGAUGAAAUCCCGUCUCUACUAAAAACACAAAAAUUAGCUGGGCGUGGUGGCAUGUGCCUGUAAUCCCAGCUACUCAAGAGGCUGAGGCAGGAGAAUCUCUUGAACCCAGGAGGCAGAGGUUGCAGUGAGCCGAGAUUGCACCUUUGUACUCUGGCCUGGGCAACAGAGUGAGACUCUGUCUAAAAAAAAAAAAAAAA